rnacentral:misc_RNA from 1 species
UCUCCGUAGGUGAACCUGCGGAGGGAUCAUUACAGAGCUCAUGCCCUAACGGGUAUUACUCCCACCCUAUGUUAUUAUCACUUUGUUGCUUUGUCGGGCCGCCUUUUACUAGGCUACCGGCUUCGGCUGGUGAGCGCCUGCCAGAGGACAACAAACUCUGAAUAUUUUCGUCGUCUGAGUACUAUAUAAUAGUUAAAACUUUCAACAACGGAUCUCUUGGUUCUG